UGGGCUCCUGUCCUCAGGUCCAUUCGGAGCAGUGGCAGCUGUCCACCAGCCAGAUACCUGUUCAGCAAAUGCAUCUGUUUGACGUCCACAAUUACCCGGACUAUGUUUCCUCGGGCGGUGGAUUCGGGCCUGUGAGUGGAGCUGGGGCGCGCUGGCCCCUAGAGGAAAGAGGGGGCUGGGGGCCUGCACUCCUGCGUAGUGGGGGUGGAGGGGACCGGAGCUAUUUUCUUCCCUUCACUCUUUCCGACUCCAGGCUGAUGACCAUGGUUAUGGUGUUUCUUAUAUCUUCAUGGGGGAUGACAUGAUCACCUUCCACAUCUCCAGCAAAAAAUCAAGCACAAAAACGGAUUCCCACAGGCUGGGGCAGCACAUUGAGGACGCACUGUUGGAUGUGGCCUCCCUGUUCCAGGCGGGACAGCAUUUUAAGCGCCGGUUCAGAGGGUCAGGGAAGGAGAACUCCAGGCACAGGUGUGGAUUUCUCUCCCGCCAGACUGGGGCCUCCAAGGCAUCAAUGACAUCCACCGACUUCUGACUCCUUCCAGCAGGCAGCUGGCCUCUCCAGGGAAUAAGGGUGAAGAUUGUCACAGCUGGCUGACACAGGACAGGGGCAGCCAGUUUGGCAACCCCACAUCCAGGCCAAUAAAGAUGUGUG
rnacentral:sRNA from 1 species